rnacentral:rRNA from 1 species
CGUAACAAGGUCUCCGUUGGUGAACCAGCGGAGGGAUCAUUACCGAGUUUACAACUCCCAAACCCCUGUGAACAUACCUAUAACGUUGCCUCGGCGGUGCCCGCUCCCCGUAAAACGGGACGGCCCGCCAGAGGACCCACAAACCCUGUUUCCAAAGUAUCUUCUGAGUAAACAUAAGUAAAUAAUCAAAACUUUCAACAACGGAUCUCUUGGUUCUGGCAUCGAUGAAGAACGCAGCGAAAUGCGAUAAGUAAUGUGAAUUGCAGAAUUCAGUGAAUCAUCGAAUCUUUGAACGCACAUUGCGCCCGCCAGUACUCUGGCGGGCAUGCCUGUCCGAGCGUCAUUUCAACCCUCAAGCCCCAGCGGUUUGGUGUUGGGCAUCGGCCGUCCUCUGCGGCGGCCGUGCCCCAAAUACAGUGGCGGACUCGCUGUUGCCUCCUCUGCGUAGUAAUUACACCUCGCACCGGAUAGACACGAAGUCCACGCCGUAAAACAACCCAAUUUCUGAAUGUUGACCUCGGAUCAGGUAGGAAUACCCGCUGAACUUAAGCAUAUCAAUA